GGCGAUCCACAGUGAUUCGGCCGCCGCGCCGGGGGGUGGGGGGGCUGCGCGGGACUCUUUUUUUUCAGACUGACCGCGGGGCAGCUGCGGAGCAUGUCGACCCCGGCCCGGAGGAGGCUCAUGCGGGAUUUCAAGCGGUUACAAGAGGACCCACCUGUGGGUGUCAGUGGCGCACCAUCUGAAAACAACAUCAUGCAGUGGAAUGCAGUUAUAUUUGGGUGAGUUGAAAGGUUUAACAAAUAAUAGAAACAGGGUCUCCCUAUGUUGCCCAGGCUGGGCUUGAACUGCUGGGCUCAAGGGAUCCUCCUGCCUUGGCCUCCCAAAGUGUUAGGAUUACAGGCACAAGCCACUGUACCCAGCUGAAAUUAUAGGUCUUAAGGCAAUUGAGAACUUUAUUUCAGAAGCUUAAGUUCCUUAGCAGCAGGAAACCCCAUAGUAUUUAUCAAAUCAUUUCUAAAAGUAUUUAGACCCAAAAUUAUAUGACAUGUUAAUCUCUGAAGUAAUUUGUUGUUUUGUAUAACUUUUCUGUAAUAUAUUCCAUAUCUGACCCCUGUUAGUAUAAAGAACAACUAUGCAAAUCUGUUUUUUCUUUUCUUUCCUCCUAGUCUCUGCUGGAUGAACCGAAUCCUAACAGUCCAGCCAAUAGCCAGGCAGCACAGCUUUAUCAGGAAAACAAACGAGAAUAUGAGAAAAGAGUUUCGGCCAUUGUUGAACAAAGCUGGAAUGAUUCAUAAUAGACAACUGGUCUGUUAAUCUUUUUCAUCAUUGUUGUGUAUAAUUUACCUCUCAGUAGAAAGGCUAACAAAUUUUAAGUGCC
rnacentral:sRNA from 1 species